GGUGCAGUGUGGGGGCAGAUUAUUACAUGGUGCAAAUCACUUCAUUGGGAGCAGAUUAUAACAUGGGGGCAAAUUACUUCAUAGGGGCAGUGUGGGGAAAUGUUUAUGUGGGGGCAUUGCUAUUAGGGGACAUUAUUUUUGGGGACACU